rnacentral:rRNA from 1 species
UCUGACGGAGCACGCCGCGUGAGUGAUGAAGGUUUUCGGAUCGUAAAACUCUGUUGUUAGGGAAGAACAAGUACCGUUCGAAUAGGGCGGGACCUUGACGGUACCUAACCAGAAAGCCACGGCUAACUACGUGCCAGCAGCCGCGGUAAUACGUAGGUGGCAAGCGUUGUCCGGAAUUAUUGGGCGUAAAGCGCGCGCAGGCGGUUUCUUAAGUCUGAUGUGAAAGCCCCCGGCUCAACCGGGGAGGGUCAUUGGAAACUGGGGAACUUGAGUGCAGAAGAGGAGAGUGGAAUUCCACGUGUAGCGGUGAAAUGCGUAGAGAUGUGGAGGAACACCAGUGGCGAAGGCGACUCUCUGGUCUGUAACUGACGCUGAGGCGCGAAAGCGUGGGGAGCGAACAGGAUUAGAUACCCUGGUAGUCCACGCCGUAAACGAUGAGUGCUAAGUGUUAGAGGGUUUCCGCCCUUUAGUGCUGCAGCAAACGCAUUAAGCACUCCGCCUGGGGAGUACGGUCGCAAGACUGAAACUCAAAGGAAUUGACGGGGGCCCGCACAAGCGGUGGAGCAUGUGGUUUAAUUCGAAGCAACGCGAAGAACCUUACCAGGUCUUGACAUCCUCUGACAACCCUAGAGAUAGGGCUUCCCCUUCGGGGGCAGAGUGACAGGUGGUGCAUGGUUGUCGUCAGCUCGUGUCGUGAGAUGUUGGGUUAAGUCCCGCAACGAGCGCAACCCUUGAUCUUAGUUGCCAGCAUUCAGUUGGGCACUCUAAGGUGACUGCCGGUGACAAACCGGAGGAAGGUGGGGAUGACGUCAAAUCAUCAUGCCCCUUAUGACCUGGGCUACACACGUGCUACAAUGGGCAGAACAAAGGGCAGCGAAGCCGCGAGGCUAAGCCAAUCCCACAAAUCUGUUCUCAGUUCGGAUCGCAGUCUGCAACUCGACUGCGUGAAGCUGGAAUCGCUAGUAAUCGCGGAUCACCAUGCCGCGGUGAAUACGUUCCCGGGCCUUGUACACACCGCCCGUCACACCACGAGAGUUUGUAACACCCGAAGUCGGUGAGGUAACCUUUUGGAGCCAGCCGCCGAAGGUGGGACAGAUGAUUGGGGUGAAGUCGUAACAAGGUAGCCGUAUCGGAAGGUGCGGCUGGAUCACCUCCUUCAUUGGAAACUGGGGAACUUGAGUGCAGAAGAGGAAAGUGGAAUUCCACGUGUAUCGGUGAAA